UGAUAAUAGAAUUCCGUUUCACAUAAUACGCUGUAGAUACGGACUAAUAACACAGAAUUCUAUUCUUUUUAAUUCUGUGCUAUUAAUAUACUAAUAUCACAGAUUUCUAUACUAUGAAAAUGUAAAGAAAUCUAUGACCAAUAUAUCUUGGCCCCGAGUCCGUGGCUGUAGUAGACUAGUGGUGAGUGGACUACUGACUGUCUUGAUGAUCCUUAUCAAACGAUAAGCAUGUACGGAAUACCGCGACCACUACACUUUAGUUAUUACACCGCGUAAUGUGUAGAACAAUUAAUGAUGUUCCAUAUUGGUGUAUAUUGUUAGAAUUUGUUUUGGAUAUGUUGUCAUUGCCAAAUGAAGGAUUGAUUAAUCUGUAUAAUUCUGCAAUGUCGAAACAUAGUGACUGUCCAAAUUGUAUACACAUUAUUCAGAUUUUGUGCAUUUUUGUGGCAUGAGCAACUUGGAGUAUGAUCAUAUUAUAUUGGCAGAUACACAAUGUGUUUAGAAUAUGCACAUCAGAAUGACGACUUUUGACAAUGAUACAGUUUCUCAAGUACAAAAGAUGUUGAUUCUAAGGAAAAAUUACCCAAUAGUGACACUUCGUGUUUGAAGGACAAAAAGUCAAUGGCAGAAACCAUACGUAACAUUGAGUUUCUUAACUUGAUCUUUCUCUACACAGAUGAUGCUUCAAUCAUAUUAAAAUAUUAUUGUAUUCAUUGCCUGGUGAAGAUUUGGGUCAAAACAACUGUAUUAAAUUCUAUUCAUGAACUUGUUAUAAAGCUCAGAGCGAUUCUAUGAAUUAUUUAGAAUUUGAGGAAAUAGAUCAAAAAUAUUUUUCAGAUUUGAUUAAUUCAUACUGUUACCCAAUCAAAAUCACUGCUUAGAAUAAUUUAAACAAAUUAUUGCAGUUGACGUGGACACUAACUUUGAAUCUGAUCAAGCACUUUUUGAACUUUCCAUGCUACUUUUGCAAUAUUUUCAAGACCUGAUCUGUACAAUAUCAACAGAAAUCAAAAUUUUUAGAAGUUGCUGCCACAUUCCAACAUAAUAUGCAUAUUAUGCUAAUCAUAUGCUCACAAUGAUGUCAAUCCAAUCAUCAAGGAGUUGUUAAACUUAAGACCCAGCUGUUCACCGACGACCUAUUGGAACAACAAAAUAACUCUGGUAUAUGAUGUGCUAGACGUAUUACAAUAUGUUACACACAGUUAUACGCAAAUGGUGGGUGGACAGUGAACAUAAAGUGUCAACUUUGGUUGACAAACUAACAACUAAAUAAGUAUCACAGAGUUUGAUUGUUCAAGAGUUAGAAGACAACAAACAAAGCGAAAAAAAAUUACAUAAUAUAAUUAUUAUUAUUAUAUAAUGUAUUUGAUAUGUGGCGGUGCUCAUAGUUACCCACCAUAUAAACUGUUAUUUUUAUUUUCAAAUAAUUUUGUAAUUUAAUAUUUCUGAUUGGUUUGAUCUUUAGUAUAAAUGGUUUGUUACAAGCAAAAAUCCACAUGACCUAUUUUAAGUGUGGACACUUAUUGGUUUGAUUCUUAUCAUUAAUUGUUAAAAAAAAUUAAAACAUGUUUUUUUAAAGUUUAUUUCAAUAUAAUAUUUUUAUAAUAUUUAUAUAAUAUUUUUUGCAUGUAUACAAUAAUAACAUGUAUCAUUAGAGUAUUGCAACACAGGUUAGCAAAUGAUUAAUUAAAACUACAUUUUGAAUUACUUGACACAUAGAUGUAAAGGUUCAACUAAUUCUUGUCCAUUAGCUUCAAUUAAUUCAGAACCUCGUCCUCCCAUAGUUACUACUGUCCCAGUUUCAUUCAUUAUAAAAUGAAGGCUAGCUCCUUUUGAGCCUAAUAUUUAAUUUAUGUGGUCAAAAGCUUGGCAUGUAGUAUAAGUCAAUUAAGACUUUUUCCUAAUAACUAAUAUUAUAAUUUUCCUUACUAGUUUUGAUAUUCAAUAAUAUAAAACUAAACAAAAUGUUAUACUUACAAUUUUUGCCCCAUUAUUCAAAGGACCAGAUGUCAUAUUUGGAUACUUAGAUAUUGUGUCUCAUUGAAUAACAGAUUAAAUUUUUUGAAUAGCAACUAAAAUACAAAUAAAAAUAAAUUUUUGAGCUAACAGAAUACAAUAUAAGUCUAACGUUUAUAUUAAAUAAUUAAUGACUCAAUAUGCUCUCAAAAAUUUUGUUUUUUUCGGCCCUUUAAUAAGUAAAUAUGAUCACUUUGAAGACUCAUUCAGCUUGGCUCAUUCACACCUCAUAUAUAUUUUUGGCACGAAAAUAUAAUAGUAUUUGAGUCAAUUAUAUUCAUAAACAAAUAAUUGGUCAUACAACUCAACAGUCUGUAAUAUUUUUUCCACAAGCCACACUUCAAAACUCUUCAAACUUCGGAAACCUAAGCUAUUAAUAUUCUCAAAUAAAAUUUUAAUAAUCAGUGACUCCCUAAGUCAUCGAAGCACCAAACCCCUCUAACGAGAUAAUUUAUCAAAUCCACAACAUCAUCAUCUCGGCCCAUAAAGCGAUCGAAUUCAUGUGGGUUCCCUCAGAUACGGGCAUCCCAGGAAAUGAAAAAGUGGAUUUACUGGCACCUCGACCUCAUCCUCAACUAUUACUACUCUACCAUACCAAGACAUAAAAAGAAGUAUAAAUAUACACACUUCCAAUAUGUGACAAAUAUCCUGGGAUGAAAUACUAAUUUCUAACAAAUUAAAAUCAAUUAAAAAGAAAAUCACUUGAUGUCUCUAAACAUUCCGAAAUUAUAAACACAAGAACAAGAAUCGGUCAUACCUUCCUCACCCACAUACAUAUCAUAAAACAUGAAAAACAACCUCUCUGUAGCCAAUGCAACAAACCGCUCUCAAUCAAACACAUAGUCUUAGAUUGCCACUAUUUGUCAACACAAGAAACAUCCUCACCAACCUUCAUCGAUGGAGGAAGCACUACUUCAAAUUCAUCGGUAUCGACACAAAAAUGUAAUAAUUAAAUAAAACUACAUAACUAGGUAACAAAAAUAAUGUAAAUAUAUAAUAUUGUAAAAACCUCUAUCCCAUAACCAUGUAAUCUAAAUUUAUAACCUAUUUAUCCAUUAAUAAUAAUGUAAUCACAACCACAGGCUAAUGACCUAGCUGUUGAAGCCUUUAUUUUCUAGGGAUGGAAAACGAUUUUAAAAAAGUUAUUAAACGGAAAAAAACAAAAAACGAAAACAAUUAACAAAACAAAAACAAAAAACAACUGAAAAACGAUAACAAA